rnacentral:snRNA from 1 species
UUGCUUCCAAGCCUUUUGGUGAGGAUUAAAUGUAGUACCUGAUCUUAUUAGUUAAUUUCAGAUAUAGUUCUGUAUUAGAG